UCGAGCGGUAACAGAGCUAAGCUUGCUACACGCUGACGAGCGGCGGACGGGUGAGUAAUGCAUAGGAAUCUGCCCGAUAGUGGGGGAUAACCUGGGGAAACCCAGGCUAAUACCGCAUACGUCCUACGGGAGAAAGGGGGCUUCGGCUCCCGCUAUUGGAUGAGCCUAUGUCGGAUUAGCUAGUUGGUAAGGUAAUGGCUUACCAAGGCAACGAUCCGUAGCUGGUCUGAGAGGAUGAUCAGCCACAUCGGGACUGAGACACGGCCCGAACUCCUACGGGAGGCAGCAGUGGGGAAUAUUGGACAAUGGGGGCAACCCUGAUCCAGCCAUGCCGCGUGUGUGAAGAAGGCCCUCGGGUUGUAAAGCACUUUCAGCGAGGAAGAACGCCUAUCGGUUAAUACCCGGUAGGAAAGACAUCACUCGCAGAAGAAGCACCGGCUAACUCCGUGCCAGCAGCCGCGGUAAUACGGAGGGUGCAAGCGUUAAUCGGAAUUACUGGGCGUAAAGCGCGCGUAGGUGGCUUGAUAAGCCGGUUGUGAAAGCCCCGGGCUCAACCUGGGAACGGCAUCCGGAACUGUCAGGCUAGAGUGCAGGAGAGGAAGGUAGAAUUCCCGGUGUAGCGGUGAAAUGCGUAGAGAUCGGGAGGAAUACCAGUGGCGAAGGCGGCCUUCUGGACUGACACUGACACUGAGGUGCGAAAGCGUGGGUAGCAAACAGGAUUAGAUACCCUGGUAGUCCACGCCGUAAACGAUGUCGACCAGCCGUUGGGUGCCUAGAGCACUUUGUGGCGAAGUUAACGC
rnacentral:rRNA from 1 species